UAGAACUGCUACCCAGUCAUUUUUUUUGUAGCACUUGUUAAUCGAUGACACUUGUACUCGUGACACCUCUCUGCUCAUUGCAUGUCUUCUCACUCUGUGUUGCUUGAGCACUCUCAUGGCCUCUUGUGUUCCCCUGCAACAAGCUGUGCCAUAUAGCUGGAUUCUCAAAUCCACCCUGUGUGAUCUGCCUGCUGGAGAGUCUGGAGCCAUGGAACAACAGAUCACCUGAGAAUAAACCCAAGCACCAAUAAAAUUUUGUGUUUACCCUGGAUGUCUUGAAAUACCAUGGCUCUCAGGAAUUACUUUGUUGUUUUAUUUAAAGGAUGAAUAGGAAUUACCUUCUGAAAGACAUACAAGUAUUUCUGUGCAUUUUGGAAUUUGGGGUGCUUGGAGAUCAGUCCUAUGUUGAUGAAGAGAUGCAUUCUUUCUGACAUAGCCACAUUUCUCACUUGACAAGAAGGCAUUGUUAAUAAGCCGUAUAUACGACUUGGAUAAGCAAGCCAUUCGCCUCCAGAACAGUCCUCUUCUACUUCAAUACCUCUGCCUGUUGGAUAGGCUUGACCUGAACAGUAGUCAGCAACAAAAAGGAAUCGUAUCAACUCAGGAUAAUCUCACUCAGGACAGCAGGAACCGUCCACUCCUACGUCGCUGUAGACAAUGGGAGACAGCAAAGAGGGAAAAGAUAGUGAAUGAAACAUCAGUUAAUGGAAAUAUUUCUUGCACUGGACAAGAAGGGCAACAGAUAUAAUUUAUCUGGACUUAUGCAAGGCCUUUGACAGAGACCAACACCAGUUUGUUAUCUCUCUAUAUUGGAGAGCUGUGGAUUUGAAGGCUGGGCUACUUGAUGGACAAAGAAUUUGUUGGAUGAUUGCAGUCAGAAGGAUGUAGCCAAUGGCUCUGUGUCCAAGUGGAGGAAGUUUCAGACAGCCACACAGAAUUUUACAAUUGCACCACGCAGACAGACUCUUGUUCAUCACUGGCAAAAGUAAUGUGACCUACAUCUGGGACCUACAGAAGACGGAUAACUACUGAGUUCAACAGCUUUGCAAGCUGUCUAGAUUAACCUCCGUGACAGCAAAGGUAUAACAAUUCUUUUUCCAUGCAACCAUCUUUUCCCUUCAGUCCCUAUUAAGGAUGUAGACAUUACAGUAGUGAUGGCUCACUUUGAGCUGGGACUUUCAUAGAAUCACAGAAUGGCUUAGGUUGGAGGGGACCCUAAAAAUCACCUAGUUCUACCCCCCUGCUAUGGGCAGUGUUUCUGUCCACUAGGUCAGGCUGCACAGGAUCCCAUCCAACCUAGGCUUGAGUGCCUCCAGAGAUGGAGCAUCCACAACCUCUCUGCGCAGGCUGUUCUAGUGCCUCACCACUCUCUAAGUAAAAAAUUUC
rnacentral:lncRNA from 1 species